UACGGAGGGUGCAAGCGUUUAUCCGGAUUCACUGGGUUUAAAGGGUGCGUAGGUGGGCAGGUAAGUCAGUGGUGAAAUCUCCGAGCUUAACUCGGAAACUGCCGUUGAUACUAUUUGUCUUGAAUAUUGUGGAGGUAAGCGGAAUAUGUCAUGUAGCGGUGAAAUGCUUAGAUAUGACAUAGAACACCAAUUGCGAAGGCAGCUUACUACACAACGAUUGACGCUGAGGCACGAAAGCGUGGGGAUCAAACAGG
rnacentral:rRNA from 1 species